AGCUCCAAUAGCGUAUAUUAAAAUUGUUGCGGUUAAAACGCUCGUAGUUGGAUAUUUGCUAGGGAGUCUCGGUCCUCCCCUAGUGGAGUGAACGCGAAGCUCGUCUUAGCCUUUAUUCAGGGAAGGUGUUUGCACUUUGUUGUGUGCCACAUGAUCUGGAUUUUUUACUUGAGGAAAUGAGAGUGUUCCAAGCAGGCUUUCCGCCGUGAAUAUGAUAGCAUGGAAUAAUAGCACAGGACCCUUUUCCAAAGCUGUUGGUUUUUGGGAAGAGGUAAUUAGAAUAAGGAUAGUUGGGGGUAUUCGUAUUUAACUGUCAGAGGUGAAAUUCUUGGAUUUUUUAAAGACGAACUAUUGCGAAGGCAU
rnacentral:rRNA from 1 species